CUUAUACUCCCUCCGUCCCAAAAUACUUGUCGGAAAAAUUGAACAAAAUGAAUGUAUCGAGAACUAAAAUAUGUCUAGAUACAUUCAUUUCUCCGACGAGUAUUUCUGGACGGAGGGAGUAUUUG
rfam:Triticum urartu cultivar G1812 contig807324, whole genome shotgun sequence.